GACGUAGGGCGCGAGCGUUGUCCGGAUUUAUUGGGCGUAAAGAGCUCGUAGGCGGCUUGUCGCGUCGUUCGUGAAAACCUGCAGCUCAACUGCAGGCUUGCGGUCGAUACGGGCAGGCUAGAGUUCGGUAGGGGAGACUGGAAUUCCUGGUGUAGCGGUGAAAUGCGCAGAUAUCAGGAAGAACACCCGUGGCUAAGGCGGCUCUCUAGUACGGUACUGACGCUGAGACGCGAAAGCGUGGGGAGCGAACAGG
rnacentral:rRNA from 1 species